UCAAUACCCUUAACAGUUAGGGGUCCUCAGUAGCAAUAUUGAGGUAAUAAACUGCUUUAAUUGCUGGAAAGCCCUUAGAGCCAUUAACACGACAACGUAGUUAGUAAUAACCAGCGUGAACGUUUAAAAAGUUUGAUGGAUUGGGUAAUCAGCAGCUAAGUUUCAUUGUAAAGUGAUUGAAAGUAAGCAAGUUGAACAAUUAGGCAAAGCGAGUCGGUUUCCAGUUGAGUGUGAAUGCGAACAAUUACACAGAACUGUAUCAAAAUUUAACUCGUAGUCAAUAAAUCGCAACCGAGAUUAUUGGGUAUAUUUGCAACCUUGAGUUUCUAACAGGGGAACAAAAUAGGCAAAAAGGUACAAAGAAUUACGAUAACGUUAGCCCAGUUGCUAACAAAUAUCAAAACUUACAAUGAAAAAAGUUCAACGACUAUUCCUUCGGGAAGUAGGAUUCAAGCGAAUCCGAAAUAGGUAGCAUCCAAACUGGAUGAAGAUAUAGUCUGGUCUCAUACGAAAGUGUGAG
rnacentral:ncRNA from 1 species